AGGACCUCCCGGAGAUCCAGGAAAUCCAGGACCAGUAGGGUUGCCUGGUAUCCAAGGACAACCAGGAUCUGUGAGACCUCCUGGCCCACCUGGUCCCAAAGGUCCACCUGGAUCACCCGGUCUACAUGGUCUCAAUGGUUUGCCAGGACAGAAAGGAUCUCGUGGACCUUCAGGACCAAGUGAAACAGGAUCCCCUGGAUCACCAGGACCAUCUGGACCGAAAGGUGAAAAGGGCUCUCCAGGAUCUCCAGGAAGCUCUAGUCAGUGCCCAGUGGGUAGACAAGGACCUCAGGGAA